ensembl:ncRNA mir-9369 mir-9369 stem loop
AGCGAGAGGGUAUUAUGUAUUCAUAUUUGUAAUAUCAUGAUACAUAUUCUCCUUUCGCUCUA